ACACACACACACACACACAAAUUUAGGUGGUUCGACAAUGUGAAGAGCUGUCUGCUAUUUUUUUGAGUGAAAAUCACAUUGCAUCAUAUUAGGGUUAUCCUUAUAUAGUUGGCAUCUAAGUAACUAAACAAUAAUAUCUCUGUCCCCACAAUAAAAAUUGGUCCCAACUCAAAAGUCCCGUAUCCCUCCAUACACAGCAUUGGUUUUGCUCCUAAAAUGAGCCACUUUAACUCAAAACAAAUAUCAUAGAAAACCCUGUUCAGUAUUGUGUUAUAGUAACUAAUGUGCAUGCUAUGUGAGAAUUAUGCAUUUGGGGAGGAGAAUAAGAGUCAGUAAAUUUAUGUCUAUAGUCCGAUUCAGUAGUUUCCGCUUGGCCGAUUCCAAGACUGGAUAAAGUAGGAGGGUUGUGGUAGGUGACAA
rnacentral:misc_RNA from 1 species